ACAUACUGUGAGCUCGAUGAGUAGGGCGGGACACGUGGUAUCCUGUCUGAAUAUGGGGGGACCAUCCUCCAAGGCUAAAUACUCCUGACUGACCGAUAGUGAACCAGUACCGUGAGGGAAAGGCGAAAAGAACCCCGGCGAGGGGAGUGAAAAAGAACCUGAAACCGUGUACGUACAAGCAGUGGGAGCACGCUUAGGCGUGUGACUGCGUACCUUUUGUAUAAUGGGUCAGCGACUUAUAUUCUGUAGCAAGGUUAACCGAAUAGGGGAGCCGAAGGGAAACCGAGUCUUAACUGGGCGUUAAGUUGCAGGGUAUAGACCCGAAACCCGGUGAUCUAGCCAUGGGCAGGUUGAAGGUUGGGUAACACUAACUGGAGGACCGAACCGACUAAUGUUGAAAAAUUAGCGGAUGACUUGUGGCUGGGGGUGAAAGGCCAAUCAAACCGGGAGAUAGCUGGUUCUCCCCGAAAGCUAUUUAGGUAGCGCCUCGUGAAUUCAUCUCCGGGGGUAGAGCACUGUUUCGGCAAGGGGGUCAUCCCGACUUACCAACCCGAUGCAAACUGCGAAUACCGGAGAAUGUUAUCACGGGAGACACACGGCGGGUGCUAACGUCCGUCGUGAAGAGGGAAACAACCCAGACCGCCAGCUAAGGUCCCAAAGUCAUGGUUAAGUGGGAAACGAUGUGGGAAGGCCCAGACAGCCAGGAUGUUGGCUUAGAAGCAGCCAUCAUUUAAAGAAAGCGUAAUAGCUCACUGGUCGAGUCGGCCUGCGCGGAAGAUGUAACGGGGCUAAACCAUGCACCGAAGCUGCGGCAGCGACGCUGAUGCGUUGUUGGGUAGGGGAGCGUUCUGUAAGCCUGUGAAGGUGUGCUGUGAGGCAUGCUGGAGGUAUCAGAAGUGCGAAUGCUGACAUAAGUAACGAUAAAGCGGGUGAAAAGCCCGCUCGCCGGAAGACCAAG
rnacentral:rRNA from 1 species